rnacentral:lncRNA from 1 species
UUUUAAACCUGCUUGCCACCGUUAACGUUCCUGCGGUGACAUGAAGAGCCAAAUACCAGAGUCUCUCGCCUCUUGGAGUUUAUGGGCCAAUUUCUCCCAAGAUGCGUGAGCUUGUUGUGCCGCCGCCAGUGGACUCGCCAGCGGCUGAGCAGCUCAGAGUGACAGCGACUCAGCGUCUGGAAGCCCCACUGGGUUGUGAAAUGAAGAAGGCCCUCUUUGCCCCUGAUGCAGCCCGGGCGAGCCCCGAGGCUCCAGAAGCGAGCAUCUCCCAGCUCCUAAAGAGCAGACAUAUAUCCUGCCUUUAAGACAAGACUACAAUUGCAAAUCUGAGAAUAUAAAUUACACUUUCAUCUUU